CAGCAGCCGCGGGAAUACGGAGGGUGCAAGCGUUAAUCGGAAUUACUGGGCGUAAAGCGUGCGCAGGCGGUUCGUUAAGACAGAUGUGAAAUCCCCGGGCUUAACCUGGGAACUGCAUUUGUGACUGGCGAGCUAGAGUAUGGCAGAGGGGGGUAGAAUUCCACGUGUAGCAGUGAAAUGCGUAGAGAUGUGGAGGAAUACCGAUGGCGAAGGCAGCCCCCUGGGCCAAUACUGACGCUCAUGCACGAAAGCGUGGGGAGCAAACAGGAUUAGAGACCCGCGUAGUCCCUGUCUCUUAUAC
rnacentral:rRNA from 1 species